rnacentral:tRNA from 1 species
GCAAAAUACUCAAUUGAAAACGGAUAAUAGAGCACAAGAACUUUCGCAAAUUACUCGUUCAUUAAAAAAUCUUGCACGUGAAUUUAACAUUCCAAUUAUUGCCUUAUCACAAUUAAGUCGAAGUGUUGAAAAUCGACCUAAUAAACGGCCGAUUCUAUCAGAUUUACGAGAAAGUGGUUCGAUUGAACAAGAUGCUGAUUUAGUUCUAAUGCUAUAUCGGGAAAGUUAUUAUUUAACGAAUGAUGAGAAUCGUUCACAAAAUAAUUCUGAUUUAGUUGAAUUAAUUAUUACUAAACAACGAAAUGGUCCAAUUGGAACCGUUGAGUUACUAUUUGAUUCUAGUCGAACGAAAUUUAGAAAUCUUGAAUAAAUGCCCAGAACCAGAUUCGAACUGGUGACACGAGGAUCUUCAAUCCACUGCUCUACCAACUGAGCUAUCCGGGCUUAAUAAAUAUUAUAAUAUAAGAAGCCAAAAAUAACAAUACAUGUUUUAAUAAUUAAUAGUUGAUUAUUUCUCUAAAAUUUAGUAUUCUAUAUAUUGGGUAUAGUUUUUGAUAAAAUUUUAAUCAAGCUUAUUUUGUCAGGAUCGUAAGAUAGCAGCAUAAAGUUUGUCUUAAAUAUUUGUAUUAAUGCUAUACCUUUUAGUUUU